rnacentral:tRNA from 1 species
GCCCGGGUAGCUCAGCCUGGAUUAGAGCGACGCACUCCUAAUGCGUAGGUCGCAGGUUCAAAUCCUGUCUCGGGCA